GAUGAACGCUGGCGGCGUGCCUAAUACAUGCAAGUCGAGCGAACAGACGAGGAGCUUGCUCCUCUGAUGUUAGCGGCGGACGGGUGAGUAACACGUGGAUAACCUACCUAUAAGACUGGGAUAACUUCGGGAAACCGGAGCUAAUACCGGAUAACAUGUUGAACCGCAUGGUUCAACAGUGAAAGACGGUCUUGCUGUCACUUAUAGCUGGAUCCGCGCCGCAUUAGCUAGUUGGUAAGGUAACGGCUUACCAAGGCAACGAUGCGUAGCCGACCUGAGAGGGUGAUCGGCCACACUGGAACUGAGACACGGUCCAGACUCCUACGGGAGGCAGCAGUAGGGAAUCUUCCGCAAGGGGCGAAAGCCUGACGGAGCAACGCCGCGUGAGUGAAGAAGGUCUUCGGAUCGUAGAACUCUGUUAUUAGGGAGGAACAAAUGUGUAAGUAACUAUGCACGUCUUGACGGUACCUAGUCAGAAAGCCACGGCUAACUACGUG
rnacentral:rRNA from 1 species